rnacentral:tRNA from 1 species
GCCCCGAUAGCCCAAUGGCAGAGGCAGACGACUUAAAAUCGUCACAGUGUCGGUUCGAGUCCGACUCGGGGCA